CAGAUAAUCUCCCCAUCUCAAGAUCCUCAACCUAAUCACAUCUGCUAAGUCCCUUUUGCCAUAAUCUGAAGGCUGUGGGGACCUGGAGGCAAUCUGCCCCGCGUGGACUUGGAGCUCCCUCCGGCUGCAGUCGGACUGCCUGCUUCUCCAGGGACCAACAUGGCAGAGGCGCGAGAUCACCCCUUCAAGGGCCUUGCAAAUCAGUAACUAACACUUAUCAGCCUUUAGCCCGUUUUGAUCCUACAUGAUUUUGACCUUAUGGCUUGACUUUGGAAUCUUCCGUCUAUAAAAGCAUGGCUC
rnacentral:lncRNA from 1 species